UUUAAUUUGAAUUUUGAAAUUUGGAGUUUGUCUUUCUUUUUUGACAGCAAAAUAUGAUGAAUUAUGUUAAUAUAUUGCCUAUAUUGAACCAUCUUUGCAAUCCUGGAACACUCCACUUGGCUGUGGUUUACUAUUCUGUAAAUACGCUGUCAGAAUCUCGCUGCCCCUGUUCAGGAUGUUUAUAUCAACGUUCCUAGGUUAGGGUGAUCUGUAGAUUAUUUUUGUGCUGUCUUUAUCUGGUUUUGGUAACAAUGGUGUGAAACCCAAAUAUCUUCACAGUCUCUGCAAUGGCAGCUCCCCCGGCCCACCAACUCCUAACUCCCUGGUUUGAUAAAGGAACGUCCGUGGGGGGCAGGUGUGACUUCUUUAGUGGUCAGAACAGGAUAUUAACCACAUAUAAAGUAAUUUACAUAUUCUUGUAAUUUGCCAAUCUCUGAAUUCACUAUCCUUUUGAUGUGGGCUCGGCGAGUCAAGGAGUCGAAAGAAAGAUUUCUUGGACUCUCAAGGUCUGGCAGUAGUGCUCCUUUAUUCAGAGAAUAGCAUGGGGACAGGACCCAGGGGCAGUAAGAGCUGCAUGCAUGGGGACAGGACCCAGGGGCAGUAAGAGCUGCAUGCAUGGGGACAGGACCCAGGGGCAGUAAGAGCUGCAUGCAUGGGGACAGGACCCAGGGGCAGUAAGAGCUGCAGGCAUGGGGACAGGACCCAGGGGCAGUAAGAGCUGCAUGCAUGGGGACAGGACCCACGGGCAGUAAGAGCUGCAGGCAUGGGGACAGGGCCCAUGAGCAGUGAGGGGCUGCAAUGUGUUGAGGGUUAGGGCUAAAUUUAUAAGGCUUGGGUACAUGACUUAUUUUUACCAGACAAAGGAAAGAUGAUGUAAAAAGUCAUUAAAUGGAAUCAGUGCAGGUGGGGUCUGGUUAUUGUGUGGUCGUAUAACUUUAGAUAUGUAUUGGGUCGUAUAGAUCAGCAUGUAGGACAGGACACCGUGGGCUUCUCUACCUGGGGCAGCCUUGAUCCACAUCACUUUCACAAACAUUUUUGCCAACACAUUGCUUCCACUUUCUUCUGGAGGGAGAGAAUAGUAAUAAACCCACAUGAGGCCCAAAAUGUUCCAUCCUUGCUUAGCAAUAGUCAUUGGCCUUGGGGUCGGAGAAUGCUGGGUCGUGCAUCUGGCAAAGGAACUGUCUGAUUUGCUCUCUAAAUGUGUACGUGGGGAUUGUGCAAACCAACCCCCUCACUGAACACGCUUACCACCCUCUAGCUCAGCCCAUGCCUUCUCCAAGCACGGCUUUCCCCUGGGUGUUAGCAGCCCAGCAGGAAGAGAAACACUCCUAGUGGGGAAGUGGGCUCAUCAACUGUUGGCAGCAACGGAGACUUCGAGCAAGAUGCAAACUGAGAGCGUGGGACCCACACGCUCUGCACGCUCAGUCCAGGCUGCUUCUAAGAACAAACAUGAUCUAAGGCCUUCAGGCCAGCAUUCAGGCUCUGGGGCAAAGGUGUCUGAGCCACACCACGUCUUCCUGUGUGCAUCACCCAAGGGUGGUACCUGAAUUCAAGACUUGCCAAAGUAACAAUCAUGAAGACCAUGAUCACGUGAAACUGAUGCAAUUGUACCAGGAACCGACUUCAUUUUUUCUGUUGAAUAAAACAUUUAGUUUUUAUAUGAACAAUCUAUCUUGAUACACAAGGUUAUAAUUAGAGACAAUAAAAUAAAUCACGGAAUCAUGACACACCUAGCUAUUGUGUCUCAUUUGUAAGUUUAUAAGAGACUGCGGCACGCCAUAGGCUUACAAAAGAUGACUCUGUA
ensembl:lncRNA